CAAAGGAAAUGUCUACAAAAUGUGACUAUCAGUACAGGACAUUAUUUUCUAGUCACUGAAGAGGUCAAGUUCUGUUAUACAUUUUUGCAGGUGCAAUUAUAAGAUAUGCUGUUUGCUACACACUACCCCCUUUUUCGGAAACUGUCAUGUUUGUGGAUUGUUGCAAUCAUGGCAUUUGGCUUUUGUGGUGCUCGACGAUCAUACUGGAGUGAUAAACCAUGGAUCAAUGUCAAUUCUUCUGAUAUCGAGGAUGGAGAGUGGGUGAAGGUGCUUUGUGGAGUUCCCAUUGAUUACACUGGAGGCUUUUGUCGCCUCUACAGAGAUGAGUCCAAGAUCCCUUUAAAAACGCUUCAGACUCAGUCCUAUGUUUGCGAAUUCCUUCUGUCCUCACGUGAACUCUUGGCUGGGAGACCAGCCGGGACCAGAACGGCAGUUCGAUGUGACUACACUCUGCAAAACUAUGUGUCCGUGCCGAGCGACCGUUCAGCAGUGGUGGUGUGGGGCACCGCUGAAAAGCCAGAGCUGAAAAUGAGUCCGCAGGUGGUAAUGCUUGAUGGCAAGGUCCGGGUGAACUGCGAAGCCCCUCGAUACGAAGCUUCUGAAUGUAUGGUAUACAGGGACACGACUCAAGUGGCUCAGACACCGUGCAGCCAUCGGAUAACGGGGAAAAAACUGAUGUUGUGGGAGCCCGUCUCCUUAUUCAACGAGAUCUCUGUGACUUGCGAAUACAAAAGGGAAGGAUGGGAUUACAUUCGAUCGGAUAGGAGCAAUCCCACAAAGAUAUUGGUAGUGGAUCCCACAAGGUUGCAGAUUUCCACAAACCAAACAAAUGCCACAUUUGUCUGUGACGUCCCAGCCCGUGUUCAGGACUUUGUGUUCUUGCACACUGGUGGUAGGACGCUCAAUCUGGAGAUGGGUGGCAAACUCAUGCUUGAAGCCAUAAAUAACAGCACAAGCCCAUUUAAUCAGACAUGUCGAAGCAUUUGAACAGUAUAUGAUUUGCUUUACACACUAGCAUUUGCCAGUAAAUGAAUAAACCAUAACUCAUAUAUUAGGUAGUCAGUUCAUUUAAAGUGGCUGGCAUGCUAUUGCCAGCCUGAGGAACACAGGAUAUUUCUGGGUAAAGGUUUGCAAAAGCAAUGCAAUUGAGGGAAUUGUACCAAUUUCAGUUUGUCAGCUUAUUGAUAGGAAAUCUCCACAAUCCCAACAAAUAACCUUUAAACAAGGUUUUCAAGUGGAAUCGCUCUGGAAAAUGUCAAUCCACAGAAAGGGAUACGUUCUUGGUUGUGUUACCACUGUGGAUAAUUGUGACUUUGGAGAAAAUAAACAGUUUGAAAUUUUGA